CAUCAUUUCCUUUCCUAGAACCUGACCGCCAGCCCUACCUGCUGGUGGACCGGAAGGACAGGACCGCUCUGCCCUUGGGAACAGGCACAAGUGGAGGUUGAAGACGUGCCCAGUUUCUGCCCCUGCCCCGACCGGCAGACCUACUUCCACCCGUUCGCACGUUACUCAGUGAAGUCAAUGGGGGUUGCGAUGUGCCUUGAUUUUAAAAAUUAACAACACGGCUUAGAGGUGCUUUAAUUUCAGGACCAAAAAUACAUCCGGUUCUUUAAAGGUUGUGACCGGGACUGCGGCUCAUCUGCUUCUCCCUCAGUUGGUAUUUAACGUGCUGCCAGCUUUUUGUCAUCACAGCUCAAUGGAUCGUCUACAUACCCCUUCGCUCCCAAAUCAGCAUUUCUGUUGGAUGAUUCCUAAGAGAGCAAUUUCUGGAAAAAGGAGAAAUGCCUGCAUGUUUGAAAUUUCGGUUCUACUAACGAAUUGCUGCCUUCCCCUUCUCCCAAAGGUUGCAUCAGCUCAUAUGGUGGCAUAAGCUCAUUUCUCCACAAACACAAACUUUCAGCCAGCAUGGACAUCUUUGCCACUUUCCAGAAUAUUCUGGAGAUGAGCGGCUUUUCACUCACUCAGUGGUCAGAUGCAUUUUCUCACCUGUAAACUGCCUCCUCAUGUCCUUUGCUCUUUUAUAUGUUAGGAUGUGUCUAUUUCAUAUUAAUUUGAAGACAUUAUAGAUCCUAGAUAUUAACUGUUGCUUGUUACACUAUUGUAAAUAUUUCCUCCUUUUUAUCAUUUGCUGUUUUUACGUUUUAUUCUCAGUUCAUGUUUGCUAUGCAAAUAUUUUUACUUUCAAAGAAUUUAAGAUCUAUAAAUAUUUGUCCAAGCCAGCCUAUUCUAAGGGUACCUACAAGAACCUCUUAUCUUCUCUAAAUUGUUUUAAAAUUUCUUUCUCUUGCCCCGCUCUCGGGUCCACCUGCCUCUGUGUGGCUCUCUCUGCCUGUCCCUGCGGAUCCCUCUCUUCAUGUUCCAAAUGGGUGCCCAUGAGAACCUGGCAAGUCUUCGCUUGGAGUUCAUUGAGACCGUCACUCCUCCUGUAUGACGGCCUGGAUGUGUCCUUCCCAAAUUCAGAUACCGAAGUACUAACCCUCAGGACGUCAGAAGCUGACUGUAUUUGGAGAUGGGCCUUUAAAGAGAUGAUUACGGUAACUGGGGUCCUAUGGGUGGCCCAAACCUAUAUAAUUGGUGUCCUUACAAGAAGGGAAAAUGAAAGCACAGACACAGCCAGGAGGACGGCCACAUGAGGACAUGGGAGGAGACACCAG
rnacentral:lncRNA from 12 species